GCCCUCCAGAUGUUUUGGGACUACAAUUCCCAUCUUCCCUGACCACUGGUCCUGCUAGCUAAGGGAUCAUGGGAGUUGUAGGCCAAAAACAUCUGGAGGGC